rnacentral:rRNA from 1 species
UCUCAGUUCGGAUUGGAGUCUGNAACCCGACUCCAUGAAGCUGGAUUCGCUAGUAAUCGCGCAUCAGCCACGGCGCGGUGAAUACGUUCCCGGGCCUUGUACACACCGCCCGUCAAGCCAUGGAAGCCGGGAGUGCCUGAAGUGCGUGAGCGCAAGCAGCGCCCUAAGGUAAAACCGGUGACUGGGGCUAAGUCGUAACAAGGUAGC